rnacentral:rRNA from 3 species
UUUAUGGAGAGUUUGAUCCUGGCUCAGGAUGAACGCUGGCGGCGUGCCUAAUACAUGCAAGUCGAGCGAACA